UACGAAGGGUGCAAGCGUUACUCGGAAUUACUGGGCGUAAAGCGUGCGUAGGUGGUUCGUUAAGUCUGAUGUGAAAGCCCUGGGCUCAACCUGGGAAUGGCACUCGAUACUGGCCAGCUGGAGUAAGGUAGAGGAUGGUGGAAUUCCCGGUGUAGCGGUGAAAUGCGUAGAGAUCGGGAGGAACAUCUGUGGCGAAGGCGGCCAUCUGGACCAUUACUGACGCUGAGGAGCGAAAGCGUGGGGAGCGAACAGG
rnacentral:rRNA from 1 species